GGGGGGGGGUCUCUCGCUCGGCGCGGAUCGCUGCGGGCGCCGCGCGGCCAUGGAGGCGGACGGGAGCCAGGCGACCUCGGGCGGCCCCGGCGAGGCGCAGCACGACCCCGGCAAGAUGUUCAUCGGCGGCCUCAGCUGGCAGACCUCCCCAGACAGUCUGCGCGACUACUUCAGCAAAUUCGGGGAGAUCCGGGAGUGCAUGGUCAUGCGGGACCCCACCACCAAGCGCUCCAGAGGCUUCGGCUUCGUGACGUUCAUGGACCAGGCUGGCGUCGACAAGGUUCUGGCCCAAUCCAGACAUGAACUGGACUCCAAGACGAUUGACCCUAAAGUUGCAUUUCCCCGACGAGCACAGCCUAAGAUGGUCACAAGAACAAAGAAAAUAUUUGUAGGUGGAUUAUCGGCUAAUACAGUAGUGGAAGACGUAAAGCAAUACUUUGAACAGUUUGGCAAGGUAGAAGACGCCAUGCUUAUGUUUGACAAGACGACCAACAGACAUAGAGGAUUUGGUUUCGUUACUUUUGAAAACGAAGAUGUGGUGGAAAAAGUCUGCGAAAUUCACUUCCAUGAAAUCAAUAAUAAAAUGGUAGAAUGUAAGAAAGCACAACCUAAAGAAGUGAUGUUUCCACCAGGGACGAGAGGAAGGGCGCGUGGAUUGCCAUACACCAUGGACGCUUUUAUGCUGGGGAUGGGAAUGUUGGGUUACCCCAAUUUUGUCGCGACUUAUGGCCGAGGAUAUCCUGGAUUUGCCCCAAGUUACAGCUAUCAGUUUCCAGGUUUUCCGGCAGCGGCCUACGGACCAGUAGCAGCGGCAGCCGUGGCGGCAGCAAGAGGAUCAGGUUUUGUUUUACGUACAAACAGACCUGGUGAGUUGCCCCUUAGCAAGGCACAGAGGGUUUGGCUGGAUUAACGUUGCUUCCCUGAUGAUUACUAUUUUUUUAAUCGGAGUGCUUUUGGUGCCCAUUACAACUGAACUGAGCAUUGAUCAAUUCUGUGCCUGAAAAUCAUUUGUCUUUAAUUUGAGUGUUUUUUGGUUUUUCUUCUGUUGGGUUUUCUGUUUUGUUUUGUUUUUUAGUUUUUUAUUUGAACUUGCAAUACAAAACUAAAUCUAACUCGAAAUUAACAACACCCUUUCUGGCAAGUUUAAAGAGCAGUAUGGUGUUUGGAAAUGUCUUUCAAGCCUCAAAAUUGCCCGUGUGCACAAAAAAAUGGCAAAGCCCCAAAACCAAAUCACAAGAGCCACCCCAACCCUGAGACCUGCAGGAGGGAGGUGGGUCUGUCACAGCCACGGGGCACAGCCAGCCCUGCUCCGGGCACGGCAUGUGUCAUGUAGUCAUCUCCAUCCAAAGACAGCAUUCAGAAGGGACAUCCUCACUUCCAUCUAGCCAUGGUAGUGAAUUGUAUCCAGGAGCAGUAGGGUGAUCUUGUGAUGCAGUGUAUAAGCCCUAUUCGUUACAAGAAAAAUUGUUGGGCUUUUUCUCCUUUUUGGUUGUUUUUUUUUCUUUUACCCAUUGCAAAUUUGCACAGCCCUGCUUCACACAUGCCCCAGCCCCAAGCCCAGAGUGCAGUGCUGCUGCCCUGCCCUAUGGCUGUUGCCCCUCCAUGGGCAAUGCAUCACUGCUUCCCCCCCACAGAAGCCCUGGCCACACACCCUGGCUCAGCCUCGUGGUCUCCCAAGGAGACUGCAGCCUUCUCAUGUCCAAUCCCCUUUGGCUCUGGUGUGCAGACACUGCUGACCUCACUGCUCCUGGCUGGCAACCCUUCAUCCUCAGAGGCACCCCGUGCGUUGUUGGGCAGCAGGGCAGUUACCUGUGCAGGAGCUUUCCACUCUUCACUUCUCUCUCCCCUUCUUUUUCUUUUGUGACGAUGCGGCCACCAGUUUGCCUUGCCAGGUCAGACAGGUUCUCUUUUCCGUCACAGCAGCUAUCUCCUACACUCUGCAAAAAGGGAUGUUUCCCUCUGCUCCUGUUCAGUGUCAGCCCUAACCCCCAUUCUUUACCCAGCCGCAUCUACACACAGAGGUGACAGCCGAGGGCUCUCAGUCUCCAUUCCCAUUCAGAGGGCUGUGCUGGAUCCCUUGGCUGCUUUUGAGGACCUCAUCCAUUCUUUUUUUAAUUUAUUUUUCUAAUUGGGACCUGAACUGGGACCUGAACCACGGAAAAUGAGCAAGCAUCAAAGUGUGAGUGCUGCAAACUCCUCCUAGACAACUUCACUAUCAAUGUCACAUUUCUUUUAAAUCCACCCGACAUUUUUUGCGUGUAAAACAUUUUUGUCUUGUAAACACAUUUUUUAAAGUAAAACCAUCGGGGGGGACAUUUUUAUCUUACGUUUGACAUGGGGGGGGGUGGGGAUUAAUUUGGAAGGAUAGCGAGCCAGCAAAAAAUUGGCAGGAGAGGGUUUUAGUGCCUUCCCUUUUGGUUCAUUGACAAGUCUGAGAUUUUUCCAGUUUCCAACCCAUUGCCACCAGCCCUUCCUCCCUGCUGACCAGAGACCAAAGCGUUAAGGCCGUAAGCUCAGCCCGGCCGUCCCAGGUGAGCCGCGGUGCUCCGCUGGCAGCAGGACGGCUCCCAGCACGGCUGGACCUCGGGUGCCUCUCCCGGCUUUGAGCCCCAACAACCCCUUACUGUACUUUAUACUUGCCAGUAUAACGAAUCUAGUAAUGCAAGCUACUGACCUUGAUGGUGAGUGUGAGCAGUUAUGUUUUGUUGUUUUCUCUCUUGCUUGGUUGGGGCUGCUGUGAGAGAGGGUGUCUCUGAGGCAUACUUUCCGGCCUCUCUUACACUCGGACGUGCACACCUCCUCUCAAACACUCUUCUGAGCGCUCUCAGCGGGAAGUCUUGAAUAGCUACAGUGCUCAACCGAAUUUUGGCGCACCCGCUUCCCCGGCAGGCUCCAACCCAGCCCGGCCCGGAGGCUUCCCUGGGGCCAACAGCCCUGGGCCCGUCGCAGACCUCUACGGCACGGCCAGCCAGGACUCCGGCGUCGGCAACUACAUAAGCGCUGCCAGCCCACAGCCGGGCUCCGGCUUCAGCCACGGGAUCGCCGGACCUUUGAUUGCAACGGCUUUUACAAAUGGAUACCAUUGAAACGUUACACAUGGUUGGUUGCCAUCUCACUUGGAGAGUCUCUCUGGAUGUCCAGGCAAAACAGGGCGAAGUUUCUGAGCGGUCCCACAGUGAGGUGACAUCGUCAGACUUCAGCACUACAUCUUCACCAACAGCAAACGAACUGGAGGUGGCACAUGACGGACUUGGGCUGUUUAAAAAAUCUCUCUCAUCAUCUCAUGAAUCUGCUGUACUAUAAAAACAACAGCUUUUAAAAGUAUGUAUAUAAAAUCCACUUCUCGUUCGUUUUAUUUUCUCGAUGGGUUUCCCCCCCCCCUUUUUAAACCCACAUUUUUUAGUAGCGUUUUGACAUAGUCUCGUAGCCACGUAGACCUAAUUCUUUGUGUAUCUCGUAGGAGCCUAACCAUAGCCUAGCUGUUUAUAUUAAGGUUUUCUUUUGUUUCCCCCCUUCUUCGCGUCCCCCUGGUCUCUGUAGUCGCUGUUAUUGCAGGAGGUGGGGGUGUGGCUCCGCAGCACACGGGUCGUCCCCCCUCCUUCUGUUCGUGCCGUCUUCGUUCACCUGCUCCUAUUUUUGGCAAUAAGGCGAGGACGACAGACUUUUGGGCGUCCUUUUUCUAUAAGUGCUUUUUUUUUGUUGUUGUUGAAAGAGGUGAUAUAAGGUUUUUUGAAAUCGUGAAUUCUGAAAAAAAAAACAAAUACAAAAAAAAAAAAAAAAAAAAAAAAAAAAAAAAAAAAAGAAAGCCAAACACUGUAAAUACAAUUCCAUUAAGUACAUAGAAACUAUUAAGAAAGAGAAAUACAAACUAUUUUUGUGAUGGAGUCAGUCUAAGGCAGUUUCUCUAUUAAAACAGAAGACACAAGCGCAGGUCUGACCUUGAGACCAGCUGCCCGGUCGGCCCCGCCGCACCGCACGGCUCUGCUCCCAUCGGUGCGGCACACCCCGCGCUCUGGCUGUUAUUCAUACGUGCACAGCUUCCCCCUGACCGUCUCGUUGUCUUUUUAAUGUAAAAACUGCUUUUCCCGAGACUGAAAAAGAAGCUCCGGUUUUCCUAUUUAUCGCAUUUAAGGUUCGAAGCACACAGCUGCUCCACAUUGCUGCUCCCAGCGCAGGUGGAGCGGCGCAGAGCUCGCAUGGGUACCUUUGUUAUCCAUCACUUUCUGUGUUAUUAACGAGUUAGCAAAGCGACUUUGGUUUGUCUGGUUGUGUUUUGGUUUUGGUUGGGUUUUGUUGGUUUUAUUUGGGAAUACCUCAGUGCUACAAGUUUCACCCUAGGAGCAACGGAAGGUUUUAAUUUAUUGUAGUUGUAAACAGAAUUAAAACAAACAAACAAAAAAAAAAAAAAAAAAAAGGAAAAAAAAGAAAAAAAAAAGAGAAAAAAAAUAAAGUAUAAAACAUCAUUGCACUGUGACUGGUAGGGGAAAAACUGACAGUUUCCUAUUUGCACAUGUUUAAUAUUUGGCUGUUAUAUAUAUGGUCCUCUGUUGGGGGAGGAAACUUAUGAAGGAUAUUUUUUAAUUUAAUUUUUUUAAUAUUGGUAAAUAGGCCUGCAACAGCAACCUGACGUACAGCGCGGUAGGUGGCAUUAAGAACAUGCUGUAGCGUGGAUAUAUUUCUUCUUUUUUUAACGUAAUAUUGACGAGUUUUAUUAAUAUUUUUUUAAAUUGUUACGUUUAUAAAUUUGGUACUUUAGGUACAGCCAGUACAAGACACUGAAUGCGACAUUUGUUAAAAGAGCUGCUGCACUCCUAUUUUUGUAAAUUUUACUAACCAGUAGAAAUACCGUAGCCGUUCAGUAGACAAGGCAGGGAAGGCGUCUGCGACGGGAGCAAGGCACCGUACUGCUAAGCAGGAGGAGCAAAGCUUGGCUUUCCUCUUACUUCUGAGAACAGAAUCAUGCUUUUCUGUGUAACGCUUUUGGUUGGUUUUCCUUCUUAUUUCCGAACAACCAGGUUUAAGCAAAAUGCUGGACGCUUUUUAAAUACUGAGACUUUGAUGGAGUGAUAACAGGAAACGAAACCAUUCUUUAAAAGGCAAAAACGGGAGAAAAAGAGAAAGAAAACAAAAAGCAACAAACCAAAUUCCCUGAGGUUCGGUGUGCCAUCAGGGGAUUUUUUAUGGCUCUUCUGUCCAUGUUGAUGAUGUACUGUACUACCGGUUGGUUCUCCUCUCCAUCCCCUGUCACCUCAUAGAAUAUUCUUUGUUAUCAUUGUUGUAUGUUAAUAGUGUAUAAAAUGGCUAUCUUGUAAGAGUGCUGUCCUGAUGCUAGUGUAGUGGAUCUUCCCCUCCUCUCUUCCCCUUCUAGUACAUAUUGGUAGGUGUAUCGUAAUUAAGGUUAACAAUUUAGAUGUAGUUAUUCAGAUUUAGGACCAGUAAGGAUAGAACUUUCUCUUAUUUAAGGAAAAAAAAAAAAAAAAAAAAAAAAAGAAAAGAAAAAAAAAGGCUAAUAAUUUUGGGAAGGUUUUCUCGUUUGUUUUUGCUUUUUUUCCUUCCUUUCCUCUGAUGUUGUUUUUCUUUCCGUUGUUGUUGUUCUUUUCUUUUGCUGAUCUGAUGCGGUUCCAACUAACCAAAGGUCUCACGGCGUUAAAAAUGCUGGCGAACUCUUACGGCAUUUUGUAGAUCCCCACCCUGUGGAAGGGGAUGUGCCAUACUACCUUAAAUGCUAACGCUAGAUAUGCAAAACUGGAUUUUUUUAAUUUAUUUUUUAAAAGAGGGAGGCACGGUAUAAUAAAACGAUUUUACUAAGAGAAAAAAAAAAACAAAAAAAAACAAAAAAAAAGAAAAACAUAUUUUUUUAAGAAUGCUCAGAAGAAAUUGCUAAUCUGUGUGAAUAUGUUUUAGAUGUUUAUAUACCUUUUGCGAAGUCCUAGUGGCCCAUAGCACAAAUGUCGUGGAACCCGGUACGUCUCGAUGUGGCUACCUAUGCUGAGGGUCCGUCAGUGCCCCGCUCAUCUCGGACUCCAUUCCCAAGGGGUUUUGUUCCUUCGUUCCCUCACUCGGGGGUUCUGUGUACCUUUGUGGCGUGGAGGCUCAGCACGCUUUGCUUUCAGUCCAGCACAGCGAUUGACAGCCGCCGGCUGAUCCAAGCUCCCACAGAGCGGCUUUGGGCCAGGGCUGAGCCCGCCAGGAGCUGCAGAACCCCAGGAGUUCAGCUCUCCUCCCCAGCCAAAACACAGAAAGUCGUUUGUGAUGGGCUCCAUUAAAAUGAAGCCUGACCUGUCCCUUUUUUCAUUUCUUACACUCAUCCAUGUUCAUUUUGAGUCGAAUUUGUAGCUUGGACUUUAAGGUAGCAUGGCUCUCUUGCUGUAUUUUCUUUUUCCAUUGUACAGCAGCAUUCAUUCAGCUGGUGAAUGUCACACAUCUCGCUAGAGUAGUCAACCAUUGGGUAGCUGUCAGUAUAUGACCUGAAAGGUGUUCGCGUUUCUUUUCCCCCUUCCCGCUCCGAAACCUCCGAUGCUGUUUCCAUCAUGGGUGUGAAUGAGGGCUCGUGCUGCACCACCACCGCUCUGCCACUCAGCACAGCCUAACCCAGAACCAAGCAAUAUUGUUUCCUCCAUUUCUCUGCAGGCCAGCCAUGGUUAUGUAUGAUAUUGCAUACGAAACUGUUUACAAACAUAAAACAAAACACUAACUCGUAGCUGUCUUUUACGCUAUGGAAAUGUCUCUUGGGUGGAAUCUUUUGAAUUCUGUUCGUUGUUAUUAAUUUUAUUUUAUUUUAUUUUAUUUUUGGUGUUUGUUUUGGUUUGGUUUUUAAGCAAAAUAGUUCCAACAGAAAACUGAGGGUCGUUCAGUGUAAGACGGGAUGCAUCGAAGACACACCGCGGGCCCGGGGUCUGCGCGUACACUGUAGAGUUUCAUACAUACAGAAUCGAAGUCGAACCCAUUUCUGUGUGUGAACACUACGUGAGGAGAUUCUGUAAGCUAAGCAAUACUUUAAUACUGUAAUAAAAUUACCAAAAAAAAUAAUAAUAAUAAAAAUAAGUAGUUUGAGAAGAGUAAAUGCGCGUGCCGCGGGUGGGGGCGGCGCUGCCCCGGGCUCAGCUGUAACACCCAGCGGCGCCGGGCCUGCGUGUGUCGCUGCAUGGCGGGUAGCAAACUGACGUCGUUCUGUGUCGUGCGAGGUCCGAACUCCAUCAGUGCUAGAGUGCGAGUCAAAGCAUUUCAGGUGGUCAUAAAUGUACCUAAAUAUACUAUGGCACAGUGGCGAGCCUAGCCCUUCCUUUUAUACUUUAGUAUGAACUGAUGAGAACUUUGGUAGUGACUUUUUUUUUAUAUAUAUACAUAUAUAUAUGUAUCUAUAUAUAUCAAGCAUCUUUCAGGUCUCUGUGUAUGGCUUUCUGAAGCCCUGUUGUAAAAUACUACGUGGAUGGGGGUCUCUCACAUCACAGAUGUGGAAAGUAUAAUUUUAUAUUUGUAUUUUCAAAUAAAUAAGUUUGUGAAAGGUUUCCAUCCUCUACUGUGGUCCAGAAAUCAACGUGUUUGUCUGACAAAAAAAUACAAUAAACUGUUUUGAACAGA